rnacentral:rRNA from 1 species
GUGUCAGCAGCCGCGGUAAGACAGAGGGGGCAAGCGUUGUCCGGACUGACUGGGCGUAAAGCGCACGCAGGCGGUCACGGGCGUCGGUGCUGAAAGCUCACCGCUUAACGGUGGGAUGCGUGCCGAUACGCCGUGACUGGAGCUCUGCAGAGGUCCGUGGAAUUGCCGGUGUAGUGGUGACAUGCGUAGAUAUCGGCAGGAACACCCAAGGGGAAGCCAGCGGACUGGGCAGAGGCUGACGCUGAGGUGCGACAGCGUGGGGAGCGAACCGGAUUAGAUACCCGGGUAGUCC